UACGAAGGGGGCUAGCGUUGCUCGGAAUCACUGGGCGUAAAGGGUGCGUAGGCGGGUCUUUAAGUCAGGGGUGAAAUCCUGGAGCUCAACUCCAGAACUGCCUUUGAUACUGAGGAUCUUGAGUUCGGGGAGAGGUGAGUGGAACUGCGAGUGUAGAGGUGAAAUUCGUAGAUAUUCGCAAGAACACCAGUGGCGAAGGCGGCUCACUGGCCCGAUACUGACGCUGAUGCACGAAAGCGUGGGGAGCAAACAGG
rnacentral:rRNA from 1 species